GGAAAAGUAGCUCAGCAGUAGAGUGCUUGCCUUGCAUGCAUGAGGCCCUGGGUUCGAUUCCUCAGCACCA
rnacentral:tRNA from 1 species